rnacentral:rRNA from 1 species
AACGAACGCUGGCGGCAUGCCUAACACAUGCAAGUCGAACGCUCCGCAAGGGGAGUGGCGCACGGGUGAGUAACACGUGGGAACCUGCCUAUCGGUUCGGAACAACGUCUGGAAACGGACGCUAAUACCGGAUAUUCCCUCAGGGGGAAAGAUUUAUCGCCGAUAGAGGGGCCCGCGUCCGAUUAGGUAGGUGGUGGGGUAACGGCCUACCAAGCCGCCGAUCGGUAGCUGGUCUGAGAGGAUGAUCAGCCACACUGGGACUGAGACACGGCCCAGACUCCUACGGGAGGCAGCAGUGGGGAAUAUUGGACAAUGGGCGCAAGCCUGAUCCAGCAAUGCCGCGUGAGUGAUGAAGGCCUUAGGGUUGUAAAGCUCUUUCGCACGUGACGAUGAUGACGGUAACGUGAGAAGAAGCCCCGGCUAACUUCGUGCCAGCAGCCGCAGUAAUAC